UAUUGGGUUCAAGUCCCACAUUUGGAAAUUUUCUUAUUUUAGAUCUAAGUCUUCUCCCUAUCGGGUGGGCUUAUAUAACAUUGUUUGUAAAUUCAUGUUAGAAUGAGCCUGCUGGUUCGAGUGGUACGGAGUUAGUGUGUUGGAGGUCCUGUGUUUGAAUCUCUGCAUAAGUAGAGGUGACAAUUUUUGUUUCGGUUGGCUGAGAAAGUUUGGAUGGACUUAAAAUUCUGAGUUGGUUGGGUUGUUAGUGGAUGUAGUGGAAUUGUGUUCAAAUUAAUUAAUUUUAUUUUUUAUCUUAUUAUUUUUAUUAUUUUUAUUUUUUCUCUCUUCCCAAAUACGUUUUGAUGUUUUUUCUCCAAAUUCCCCUUCUAAACAUUUUCUUUUUUAUUUCUUCUGUCUUUGAUUUAUGUUUGCUAUACUGUUGUUCAAU
rnacentral:lncRNA from 1 species